rnacentral:rRNA from 1 species
AUCCUGACGGCGGCGGAACAACCCCGCGCAUUACGCAGUCCACUCUAGCAGGCCGAAACGGUUCCCUGUGAGUAGGCCCCUUCAUUGGAGUCGAAAGCGCCAACGCAUCAACCGUAUGCAUACGGGACGUCGGCCAACGUUACUGUGAACAAACCAGCGUGUCCAAAGCAGGCCUUCGCCUGAAUGUUCGAGCAUGGAAUAACAAGGGAUCGAUUCUCUCGGUUCUUUUUGUUGGUUUUUAUCCCGAGAAGGAGUAAUUCAGUCCACGGUGUCUGAGUUGGGUUACCCUAGGUCUAGGCUUAGGCCCCAAUUAGGCCGUGUGCUUACGGGAUCAAUAGGGACUGACGGGGUCGUACGUACUUCCGCGGCAGAGGUGAAAUUCUUAGAUCGCGGGAAGACGAACUUCUGCGAAAGCAUUCGACAAGAAUGUCUUCAUUAAUCAAGAACGAGAGUGUGGGGAUCGAAGAUGAUCAGAUACCGUCGUAGUCCACACUGUAAACAAUGCCGUCUCAGGAUUGAGAAGUGAACAUAAUGACUUUCACAGCACUAACCCCUGAAACGAGAAAUCAAAGAUUAUGGGUUCAGGGGGGAGUACAUUCGCAAGGCUGAAACUUAAAGGAAUUUACGGAAUGACACCACAAGGCGUGGAGUAUGCGGCUUAAUUUG